ACCACAAUGACAGAGAACACCACCAGGAAGAGAAUGGAAAGCUUCAUAUUUCUAUCUUAAAGACAAAAAAAGAACACCGAUAAGAAGGAUCAUGAAGAUUCAAUUUGCCUGUUUGCUGCUGGGCCUGCUUUCUGCUGUGGAGCUCUCUGUAAGCCAGGACUUCUAUGAAAGACAUGUCAUUAGAAACAUGCAGCCAGGCCAGUGUACUGAGAAGAUCAAUCAGAGAGGAAUCGGAGUUGUAGAUGGUAAAUGUAAAACAAUAAACACAUUUAUUUUGACCAAUAAUGCAGGAGUCAAUGGCAUCUGUGCAGGUCACACUGGACGACAACAAGGUGGAAACUUUCAAGUUGUUGAAUGCCGACAUAAUGUUAACAAUGUUAACAGUGCACCUCCUAAUUGUAUAUUUUGGGGUAAACUACAUAACAACAGAAUGAUUGAUAUACAGUGUGAUCAUCAUGGAUUGCCAGUCCACUUGUAUAAUACAUCAAAUAAUGCGCAAAAUGGUUAAACUGUUCUGAAUUGUUGCUUAGUCCUUAGUUUGACGUUGACAGCCACCCUGGCUACAAUCUCAUGUUAUUGCUUGUCAUGAUUUAUUUUCUUUGCUUUAAAAAAUAAUGAAUAGUGAAAAUGCAAUAAAGCAUUUUGUCUGCACUCAGUUGUGUUACAUGGAUUUCCUGAACUCAACUUGCCUUCUUUCUACUGAAAUCAUAAAAUAAACUUAUUAACCAGC